rnacentral:rRNA from 1 species
CGAUAAUCUGCCCUUAGGUCUAUGCGAACCUCGGGAAACUGAGGCUAAACUUGAUAGGGGUUAUGGACUGGAAUGUUCUUUCCCUGAAACUAAGGAUGAGUCGGCGGCGGAUUAGGUAGAUGGAGAGGUAACGGCUCACCAUGCCUAAGAUCCGUACGGGCCAUGAGAGUGGUCGCCCGGAGAGGGGUACUGAGAUACUGACCCCAGCCCUACGGGGUGCAGCAGGCGCGGAAACUUUACAAUGCACGCAAGUGUGAUAAGGGAAUCCAAAGUGCUUACGCUUUGCGUAGGCUUUUGCCAAGUCUAAAUAGCUUGGAGAAUAAGUGGUGGGUAAGACUGGUGCCAGCAGCCGCGGUAACCCCAGCGCCACAAGUGGGAGUCGCUUUUAUUGGGCCUAAAGCGUUCGUAGCCUGUUUUGUAAGUCUUUUGUGAAAUUGUCAGGCUUAACCUGACAGCGUGCAAGAGAUACUGCAAUUCUUGGGACCGGGAGGAGUAUGGGGUACUCCAUGGGGAACGGUAAAAUGUAAUAAUCCAUGGAAGACCACCAGUGGCGGAGGCGCCAUACUAGAACGGAUCCGACGGUGAGGAACGAAGGCUAGGGGAGCAAAACGGAUUAGAUACCCGAGUAGUCCUGGCAGUAAACUCUGUGUGCUAGGUGUUGCAUUUUCUUGUGAACGUGCAGUAUCGAAGUGAAGACAUUAAGCACACCGCCUGGGUAGUACGGUCGCAAGGCUGAAACU